ACCCCAUGGCGAAGGGGUUUAUUGCAGUAAUGACGUUAGGCCCAAAGCUUGGGAACAAACCAGAUUAGAUACCCUGGUAGUCCACGCUUUAACGAUGAAUACUAGGUGUGGGGGGACUGACCCCUUCCGUGCCGCAGUUAACACAAUAAGUAUUCCACCUGGGGAGUACGGCCGCAAGGUUGAAACUCAAAGGAAUUGACGGGGGCCCGCACAAGCAGUGGAUUAUGUGGUUUAAUUCGAAGCAACGCGAAGAACCUUACCAGGGCUUGACAUCCAACUAACGAAGCAGAGAUGCAUUAGGUGCCCUUCGGGGAAAGUUGAGACAGGUGGUGCAUGGUUGUCGUCAGCUCGUGUCGUGAGAUGUUGGGUUAAGUCCCGCAACGAGCGCAACCCCUAUUGUUAGUUGCUACGCAAGAGCACUCUAGCGAGACUGCCGUUGACAAAACGGAGGAAGGUGGGGACGACGUCAAAUCAUCAUGCCCCUUAUGUCCUGGGCUACACACGUAAUACAAUGGCGUCCAACAAAGGGAAGCAAAGCCGCGAGGCAGAGCAAAUCCCCAAAAGACGUCUCAGUUCGGAUUGCAGGCUGCAACUCGCCUGUAUGAAGUCGGAAUUGCUAGUAAUCGUGGAUCAGCAUGCCACGGUGAAUACGUUCCCGGGCCUUGUACACACCGCCCGUCACACCAUGAGAGCCGGGAACACCCGAAGUNCCGUAGUCUAACCGCAAGGAGGACGCGGCCGAAGCAGCACCAAUCGGGCCGCAGGCUAGUAUUCAUCGUUUACCGCGGGACUACCGGGGUAUUUAAUCCUGUUCGCUCCCCACGCUUCGUGCCUCAGCGUCAGUCGCGUGCUGGAAAGCUGCCUUCGCAAUCGGGGUUCUGCGUCAUAUCUAUGCAUUUCACCGCUACACAACGCAUUCCGCCUCCCUCGCACGAACUCCAGCACGAAAGUUUCAACGGCGUCACCGGGUUGAGCCCGGAACUUUGACCGCUGACUUUUCGCGCCGCCUGCGCACCCUUUAAACCCAAUAAAUCCGGAUAACGCUCGCAUCCUCCGUAUUACCGCGGCUGCUGGCACGGAGUUAGCCGAUGCUUAUUCUCCGGGUACUCUCAUUGCGCCACGCGUGGCGCACGUUGCUCCCCGGCUAAAGAGGUUUACAAUCCGUAGGACCUUCCUCCCUCACGCGACUUGGCUGGUUCAGGCUCCCGCCCAUUGACCAAUAUUCCUCACUGCUGCCUCCCGUAGGAGUUUGGUCCGUGUCUCAGUACCAAUGUGGGGGACCUUCCUCUCAGAACCCCUACGCAUCGUCGCCUUGGUGGGCCUCUGCCCCGCCAACUAGCUAAUGCGCCGCAUGCCCAUCCCCUUCCGGCUCGCCUUUCCCGGCCCGGCCAUGCGGCUGGACCGACUAUGGGAUAUUAGGCCACAUUUCUAUGGGUUAUCUCCCAGAAGGGGGCAGGUUGCAUACGUGUUACUCACCAGUGCGCCGGUCGCCGACAGCAAGUGUUGCCACUCGCCCGCUGCCCCUCGAGCUUGCAUGUGUUAAGCCUGUCGGCUAGCGUU
rnacentral:rRNA from 1 species